GCUGAGAAUCAACAGUUCAGGUUACAAAGUUGCACAAAUACAGUGAAUAUCCCACCCUGGGACUUGUCUAUGUGACUGUCUGCAUUCACUCCUGGAGUGUUGGGCUAUGAAGAAAGAGGCCAUCAAACCAGCUGCAGAACAAAUGACUUUUUCCAACAGCCUUGAGCUAUGCAGCUGCAGUCUGUGGUAAGCUUUGUGAGGGGAAGAGGCCAGUUUGGCCUGGAAAUCAAGACAAGGUGUUUAAAGGUCGACUUCAGUGUCCGUCCUUAGAGAACGAAGGCUGCAAGUCACACCUCGCGUCCCUGCCCCAGCCUCCAGCCCUUUCUCUGGUCUCUGGUCACCUCUUCUCUCCAUAGCCAGCAUAGAGCCAGCAGGUCAGAUAAAUAGAGCCUACUACCCGAGCCUGGGCUUGCUCCCCAGGCUUUCAGAAGCCAGCCAAGCUGCUGGUACAAGGGAAACCACUAAAGGGCUGCGAAUGGGCUGCGCUUCCCCAGCAACGGGAACAUCACCCAGAGCGUCAGCAGGCCUGACACCUUGGGGUAGGGACCACACACAUGGAGUUCCACUGCAGGUCG